AGUGAACGCUGGCGGUAGGCCUAACACAUGCAAGUCGAACGGCAGCACAGUAAGAGCUUGCUCUUCCGGGUGGCGAGUGGCGGACGGGUGAGGAAUAUAUCGGAAUCUACUUUUUCGUGGGGGUUAACGUAGGGAAACUUACGCUAAUACAGCAUAUGCUCUACGGGUGAAAGCAGGGGAUCUUCGGACCUUGCGCGAUUGAAUGAGCCGAUGUCGGACUAGCUAGUUGGCGGGGUAAAGGCCCACCAAGGCGACGAUCCGUAGCUGGUCUGAGAGGAUGAUCAGCCACACUGGAACUGAGACACGGUCCAGACUACUACGGGAGGCAGCAGUGGGGAAUAGUAGACAAUGGGCGCAAGCCUGAUCCAGCCAUACCGCGUGUGUGAAGAAGGCCUUCGGGUUGUAAAGACCUUUUGUUGGGAAAGAAAAGCAGCAGGUUAAUACCCCGCUGUUCUGACGGUACCCAAAGAAUAAGCACCGGCUAACUUCGUG
rnacentral:rRNA from 1 species